AGCCUUCUCCCCACUCCCAUGAGCUGGAAAAUGGGGGGCUUGUUUGGGAGAAAACUCUUCCAGAGACAGACUCUGUUUUGAGUUGCUAGGCUAUAUUAAGUUGGGACCAUACACACCAGAUUAAAGGAAGAGUGGGGAGCCAGAGCUGGCUGCUCAUAUAUACCCGUGAAUUUGCAAAGUGGUAUACAUCCAACAUCAUUCAUUACAGCUUCACCAUAGAUGGAAAUAUACCAGAAGUCCAUCCAUGAGGACUGUUAGUUAUGUGAUGAUACAACCAUAUAUGUAGACUAUUAUGCAGCAUGAAAGAAUGACAAUGAUCUCUAUGUACUGACAUGGAAAGAUCUCUACAAAAGAUUGUUUAGUGAAAAUGGGUGUCUAUUAUGCUACUUUUCCAGAGAAAAAUAAGAAUCCAUACUAUUUCCUUGUAUAUGCAUAAGGAAACUAUAGAAAAUAUAUCUACAAGAAAUUAAGCUGUCCUAUAAAGAAGACUUAUGUAAAAUAUAAAUAAAGAAAUAUAAAAAUUUUUAAAAGAAAACAUGUAAAAGACUUAUGUAAAGAAGACGUAUUCACAGGUCAGAACUUCACUAUAGUAGUGGUCAGUUCCUCUCGAUUAUCCUAUGGGUUCAAUUCAAUCUCAGUCUAAACCCCAGAAGGAUGGAUGGAGAGAUGGAUGAAUGGAUGGAUGGAUGGAUGGAUUUAUUUAUUUAUUAUUUAAAAUUUUAAAAUAGAGGUAAAUUCACAUAGCAUAAAAGUCACCAUUUUAAAUGACCAUCUUAGUGGCAUUCAGUACAUUCACAAUGUUGUGCAAUCUCUAUGUAUUUCCACAUAUUUUUAUUGGCAAUGAAAAUUUGGAAAAAUUUCCAAACAUUUUCAGCACCCGAAAAGGAAACCCUGUACCCAUCAACCAGUUGCUCCUAAUAUCCCCCUCCCCAUAAUGCUGGUAACCACCACUAUUAGUUUCCUAUGACUGCUAUAACAGAGUACCACAACCUGGUCAGUGUAUAAAAAAGAAGAGCAGAAAUGGAUCCUCUCAUGGUCCUGAAAGCCAAGGGUCUGAAUUCAGUGUGUUGGCAGGGCCAUGAUCCUUCCAAGGCUCUAGGGGAGACUUCUUUUGUUGACUGAAAAAAGAUGCUCAACCUAAAAAUUGACAGUUAUGUUUUACUCAGCAGACAAAACUGAGGACUUAAGCCUGGGACGCAGACUGUCAAAUAUCUCUAAGGGAACUCCUCUGAAGAAGGACACAUGGUUGGAUUAUAGCCUACCCAAAUUCAGUGCAUCUGCAAAGACCGUAUCUCCAAAUAAAGUCACAUUCAUGGCCACUGGAGGUUAGAACUUCAGCAUAUCUUUUGGGGGAUGUAAUUCAACCCAUAAUGCCACCAAUCGGCAUUCUGUCUCUAUGGAUUUACCUUUUCUGGAUAUGGGAUCUGGAUUUUUAUUGUAGAUUGUCAUGCUGAUUCUAAAAUUCACAUGGAUGAGCAAGGGACCCAGAAUAGAUGGGACAAUUCUUGGGUUCUCAAGCCUGGGUUCUCUGCCUUCCUCCUAGGAACCAAGAACCCACUCCCUUUUGCCAGCUCCAUGUGGGUGAGGAAGGGGACCUGGGAGAGAAGUACAAGGAAGUCAGAGGCUGGGGAACCUCUCCGAGGACCAGGGAGGGUGACACUGCCUGCCUUCUUGUGUAGGUAGGCUGCAGACCUGGAAGACAGCAUGAGAACUGAGAUUAUGGGAAGAGCUGCAGAGGUGUGGCUGGAAGCAGAUUCUAGGGCUAUGGAAUGGGGGGAGACACAGCCAGUUUUGUUGUUAUUCACUGUGCUGUUUGUCAUCCUGGGGUGCCUGUUUCCAGAGCUGGGAGGGAUUACAGGGCAUUGGAGGUCGGCGGGGGGAGGCCGGUACAGAGAGAUUUGGAGCGAUCACUUGUUGACUUCCUUACUGAACAAAUUCACAGUCGGGGUACCAGCACCCCACUCUGGAGGAGCCCAACUCUUGCUCCUCAUGAUGCAGUUUUCGGCAGAGCUGAGAGACUGUCCAAAGUCCUGUGAAUUGGCUACCUACAUCACAUCAGACCAAAUCGUUGGGCAGGCCUGUAGUAACCAUGCUUCCUUUUUAUUUUUCACAUACAUCUAAUCCAUGUUAUCUCAUGUUUUGCCUUAAAUAAGUUUUCAAACAAAGUAGAAGCGUAAAUAUAUGAUAAACACUAAGUGCUUUUAAAAAAUUCAGCUAUGUUUAUGGAAUUUCCUACCCUGAGGGUAGACAUGGGCAAACGCCUAUAAUAGACAGUUCCUUCACUUUCGCCUGGCAUCGGCAGGUUGGAAUUGUGUCUUAAUCCAGUUUCCAAAGAAAACAGAGCCUGAGGCAAACAUGUGCUGACACUUUAGCAUAUCCCUUCCCUGAGGGCUUCUACAUUUUUGUCUUCUAUCAACAGAGGAUUAGAAACUCCCUUCAAGUGUACCACCACUACAAGGGUGGUCUCAAACUUGGGCUUAUAUUCCACAGAGGAUGAGAGCUCCUAAACACUGGUUGCUGGGCCCAUCCCUGCAUCUCUGAUUCAGUGGGGCCUAGAAUUUGCAUUUCUAACACAUCCUCAGGGCAUGCUGAUACUGAAAGUAUGGGACCAUGCCCUGAGAACCACAAACCAUCCUCCUGCCAAUCCUAAAUUCGACCUCAGCAAGUGUCACCUCCUCUGCAAAGUUUCUGGGCCCUUCAGCUUCAAGGCCCUAGCACCCUAAAAGAGCCUUAUCUGUGGCUCCCUCCUUCCAGCAUUGUCGAUAAAUGCAGUGUUUCCUUUC